CGUCCAAGUAUGCCAGGGAAAUCUCUGCUACCAAACUCCUGUCUGGGAUGGACUGGGCCAUUCCAUAGAUGGCUCCCAUGCCUGUGGUCUUGGCGUUGAGAUUAUUCAUGAUGUCCUCAAUGCUGUCUUUGACAUCUUUCAGGAACUGCUCAGCCACACCAGAUUUCGUGUGCAACUGCGUGAUGCAAAGAUGAAUGCUUGGUGGGAACUGCAAGAUGUUCAAGUUCCAUCCUUUUGCAGCUAACAAAUUAGAUAACCGAUAAAUGUCAAACGUGUCUGAACCGAUGGAGAGGACAGACACCUCAGGUUUCCCAAAAAUGAAGAUGCUGUCAAUUUUUCUCAACUCCGAUUCAAGGAAGCGAGCUGUUUUUAUGAUCCUUUUCGUGGCCUCAACGUAGCCCGAUUCCCCCAUGUGCAUCAGAGUUGCCCAGCACGCGGCUAUGAUUCCACCAGCCCUGGAGCCUGCUAUGGAGGGGGAGGCGUAUAUGCCCCCUUGCCAGUCGGGUGCCACAAAGUACUGG
rnacentral:lncRNA from 1 species